rnacentral:rRNA from 1 species
GACGAACGCUGGCGGCGUGCCUAAUACAUGCAAGUAGAACGCAGUUGCGAAGGGGUGAGUAACGCGUAGGUAACCUGCCUUAUCGCGGGGGAUAACUAUUGGAAACGAUAGCUAAUACCUCAUACUGUGAGAUGGACCUGCGUUGUAUUAGCUAGUUGGUGAGGUAAAGGCUUACCAAGGCGACGACAGAUAGCCGACCUGAGAGGGUGAUGGGCCAAACUGGGACGGUGAGAAGGGCCAGACGCCUGCGGGAGGCAACGGGGGGGGAACUGCGGGAAAGGGAGGAAGUCUGGCCGGGCGACGGCGCGGGAGGGAAGAAGGUUUUCGGAGCGGAAAGGUUGGGUUUUAGGGAAGCGGUAACUAACCAGAAAGGGACGGCUAACUACGUGCCAGCCGCCGCGGUAAUUC